UUCGCAAUGCCCGAAAGGGCGACGGAGCGACGCCGCGUGGAGGAUGAAGGCCCUCGGGUUGUAAACUCCUGUCAGGUGGGAAGAAUAGCAUCGGGCUGAAUAACCCCGAUGCCUGACGUUACCACCAGAGGAAGCACCAGCAAACUUCGUGCCAGCAGCUGCGGUAAUACGAAGGGUGCGAGCGUUGUUCGGAAUUACUGGGCUUAAAGGGCGCGUAGGCGGAAUGGUAAAUCAGGGGUGAAAGCCCGGCGCUCAACGUCGGAAUUGCUUCUGAAAAUGCCUUUCUCGAGUGCAGGAGGGGAGAGCGGAACUCCUGGUGGAGCAGUGAAAUGCGUAGAUAUCAAGGGGAACGCCGGCGGCGAAAGCGGCUCUCUGGCCUGUUACUUACGCUGAGUGCGCGAAAGCUAGGGGAGCAAAGAGGAUUAGAUACUCUUGUAGUCCUAGCCGUAAACGAUGGGCACUAAGUAGAGGGGUUUU
rnacentral:rRNA from 1 species